GUUCAAGGCUACUAUUUUACCUCUUUUCAUCAUGGAUCCUCCGGUAGAUAGUGAUGGACUCACACAAGAAAUCAGACCUUUUGUAAACUCCAAGGCCUAUAUGAACAAUCUCACCAAAAAUAGUUUGAUGUGCAGUGCAAUCCUCUAAAAAGGUAAGCAGAGAAUUUGCAUUCCUUUCUAUACCAGAAAAAGAAUCUAUAAAAACAUACUGUACUUUAAAAAAGAGCUCAUAUGUGAACAUUUUGGAUGGAAUUCAGUCUAGAAGUUCAAAAGUUAGUAUUGUAAAAU
rnacentral:lncRNA from 11 species